GAUGAUAGAAAACUUCUAUAUAUAUAUAUGUCGGGUUAACGUUGGAUUUCUGGGCGUGUAAUGAAUCUUCAUAAGUUAACAAGUGAUAUUGAGUGAUUGAGUGAUCAAGAUGUCGUUGACGAUGAAUUUAGGUUCGAUAACGAAUACACGGUCAAUGGGAUGACGAUUGCGAUUAGAAACUCGGCCUUCGUAAACUUUUGACGAAACCUUCAAAUAGAAGUUUUGGUUCAGAGAUAAUAUAUUUUUAUAGUAUUAUAAAUAUAAUUUGGCAACUUUAGAAUACUUUGAGAAUGUAUAUGUAUCUGACAAGUGUGAAGAAAACACGUGUUAUUAAGUGCGCAAUAAUACACAUCACUGGCGCC